UGGGGAAUAUUGGACAAUGGGCGAAAGCCUGAUCCAGCCAUGCCGCGUGUGUGAAGAAGGUCUUCGGAUUGUAAAGCACUUUAAGUUGGGAGGAAGGGCAGUAAGCGAAUACCUUGCUGUUUUGACGUUACCGACAGAAUAAGCACCGGCUAACUCUGUGCCAGCAGCCGCGGUAAUACAGAGGGUGCAAGCGUUAAUCGGAAUUACUGGGCGUAAAGCGCGCGUAGGUGGUUCGUUAAGUGGAAUGUGAAAGCCCCGGGCUCAACCUGGGAACUGCAACCAAAACUGGCGAGCUAGAGUAGGGCAGAGGGUGGUGGAAUUUCCUGUGUAGCGGUCAAAUGCGUAGAUAUAGGAAGGAACGCCAGUGGCGAAGGCGACCACCUGGGCUCAUACUGACACUGAGGUGCGAAAGCGUGGGGAGCAAACAGG
rnacentral:rRNA from 1 species